rnacentral:lncRNA from 1 species
UAAGAACCCAACUAGGAUCCACUGGGAUGUGGGUUCAAUCCCUGGCCUCGCUCAGUGGGUUAAGGAUACAGCAUUGCCGUGAGCUGUGGUGCAGGUCACAGAUGCAGCUCAGAUCCUGCGUUGCUGUGGCUGUGGUGCAGGCCGGUAGCUGCAGCUGGCUCAACCCCUAGCCUGAGAACAUCCAUAUGCUGCAGGGGCGGCCCUAAAAAGCCAAAAAAAAAAAAAAAAAAAGCUGCAGGUCUUUGUCCUAGGCUCCCAUGAAACUGACAGUCUGUGGCUUCCUCAGUCAAUAGGCUGGAGCAGCACCCAGACGUGUCCUCUCAAGAUCCAGACACGCCAAGCCCGUGCCUUUCUUGGUUGUGGGCAGUGCAAGGCGCAGCCGGGAGACCGUGACGGUCCAGAGGCCACUGGUUCGUCCUGGAAUUGAGCCGUCGCCGUCCAGGGCACGGCUUCCUGCUCACCAGGGCCACUGCUGUGAUGUCCCCAGUGCACCCAAAUGAGGUGCACUCUCAGGGCUCAUGGGAUCACUGCGUCUGUCUGUGAGGGCUCCACCUCGCAGCCUCGUCGGAGCCCAGGCCGUGUCUUGUCGCAUGGAUCGUCCCUGUGUCCAGCUGACAGAACAGGAGAGGCCCGCCUCUGACCUGCACCUGGAUCCGCACGGUGUGCUGGCAUCCGCUGCACCCCACACAGGCUCAGGGCCUUGGAAGAUUGCAGGUGGCAAACCAGGCGGUACCUCUGGCGGCCCACUUCAGGUGGAGAGAGCCAGCCGAGCCCUGAUCCGUAUGCGCCCUUGUCUGUGACUGUCCAGCUGGCCCUCCACGGCAGAGAAGAGACCGCAGGGGGGUAUCCAGCAGGUCUCUCCCGUCCCGCAGGACACGCACUGGAAGCACGCUCUGGUGGGCGGGGUGACACCUGUGGAUGUCACCCAGCCUCUUAAGUGGCAGGAAAGGAGACCUGCAUUGGCUCAACACCACCCCCUCUCACAAAGGCUUCCUGGCUUCUGCAGCUCCUCAGUCCCUGCACUGCCAACCACAGACGCCAACGCGGAGCCCUUGACGAGGCAGGCAGUCCCCUCCACCACAGAGGAGGCAGUAGUUGGUCCCACCAGGAACAGACACGUUCCUGUCUGCGGGGCGUCUGCCAACAGUGCGAUCUGAGGACCUGGAGAAUGUCUUACCUGCUGCCUUAGCUCUGUGUGACGGCGCCUCUUUGCAGCAGGCCCACAUUUUAUUUGUUGUACGGUCGCACCUGCUGCACAUGGAAGGUCCCACCCAGCCUAGGGAUCGAAUCCAAGCCACAGCUGCAACCUAUACCGCAGCUGGGGCAAUGCUGAAUCCUUUAACCCACUGCACCGGGCUGGGAGUCAAACCCGCACCUUCCCAGCAACCCAAGCCACUGCACUCGGAUGCUUAACCCACUGUGCCCCAGUGGGAACUCCAGCAGCAGGCAUAUUUUAAAGCAAUGAAAGUGUGCAGGAUGAGCUCACGUGGAAGCCACUGGUGUCACCACAUUGGGGGAGCUUAUUGAGGACAUGACCUGUGGAAGUUUGACCUGUGAGCCAGGCCCCCAACAGAGGCCCCCACCGGCUCCCUGUCCUUGGAAGGUGCUUUCUGCCCCAAGGCUGCAGCCUCGAGACCGGCUGGAAGGUGUGCAUGACCGAUGCCAGGCAAGGCCUCUGUAUAAGCGCUUAUGAUUGUGGCAGGUCGGUGCAGAGACCUAUUGCCCCUGGCCACCCAAGACAAACCUCGUGAGCCCCAGCAGCCAGGGAGCGCCGAAGGAGAGGCUGGGCUACAAACGGUGUGGAAAGAAUUGCAGCCAACUCCUCAGCUGCAUGCUGCAGAUGACCCAAUUUAUUAAACGAAAAGCAUCAGUUUUUAUACCAUAUCACAAUCAGGUUUCGUAUAAGAUUUGACAUUAACAUUUGAUUUAAAGCCCUUUCUGUUCCCUCCACCUGAGAUACAAAAAAAGGUUAGUUAAAACAUGUUCCUUUCAACUUUAGAUUUUCCUUCAAGAUUACAAACUUAAAGUUUCACACUGUAUUUUUCUUAAAAGGUCAACAACAGUAGUUAUUCUAUUCUAUAUGAAGAACAAAGCUUUAAUAAGCAAUAAACUAUGAUACCUAACAUUCUUUAACUAAAGGUGUAUGUAGUUAACAAAACGCAUGAAAGCCUUGGGUUCAUGGUAUUCUUAAAACUACGAUUUAUUUGGCGCCAGCAAGCUAAGCAUUUAACCUAUUGUGCUGAUUUACGUAAGUUCCAAACCACCAAUCUCAAUAGAAAGGCGUAUUAUACCCAAAAUUAUCAAAUGCCCUCACAAGGGAUGAAAGUUACAGGUGACACUGUUAUUUGAUAAAAAAUAUAUUAUAGAAAAUAGCAAUUUAUAGGCCAAACAACAUUUUUCCCAGCCCCAAACUUUUUAAGUAAAGGAACUGAAAUCAUAAGUUUCCCCUGUAUACUCUCACAAAAUAGGUGCCAUAAAUUGUUACUCCAAAACAAAGGCUUUUUCCAUUACAUUGUUUAAAUAACUUCACUCUGUUUUGGUUUAGGUGUUUUACGUACCUGGGGCAAAUCCUUAGCUGUAAGAAAGCUGUGAAUCAAAGAUAGAAAAAGAAGGAUAAACACAGAGAAAAUAGAUUAACAUAUUUUUUAGGGGAUAUCAUUUUUAUUUUCCUGGAGCCGAUGUUUUUCAAGGGAUUGCUCUGCAAUCCUUCUUCUUUCUUCAGCUUGUCUGUAGCUCUGCUAACCAGACAAACCUCAUGCAGGUGCUGACUGUGGCUUUGCUUUUUUUACUGGAGCAGCCUUAUGGCUCCCGACACUGUGGAUUGUGUUAAACCUGCCACUUGCCCAUCUGGAGUGUCCGCCUCUCUCUUGGUCUCUUGCCAUCAGAUGCAGGGGCCAGUUUACAAACUAACACCAUCUGUCAGCUGGAAGCCGUUACCUUGACUGAAGAGAGGGACUGCUCCCUGAAGGCUCCCUUCAGCAGCAGCUUGGAAAUCCCGCCUUUCGAGUUUGAGGUCAGGUCCCAAACUGGUGGGUGCCUUAAGCCGGCAGCGCGCGUCAUGCUACUUCCCUUACAGCCAGACUGCAGGGGUCGGAAAGUCAAGAGGCAGACUUGCGCUGCACGUGCCACGCUGGGCUCUCCGGUUUCUUGGUCACGUCAAGCACGGGAGCAGCAGGGCACCGUGUGUGCCACCUGGGUUCCCCGCGUCGUCUCCCCAUCGUGUAGUGAACGGAGGAGCAGGCUUCUCUCCUCCGGGGCCGAGGCAGGGACUCCUUUUGCCCUCUGGUUCCCAGAUGUGGCAACCCCAAGGUACCCAGAGAGCAUCCGUAGUUUAUAGGCUAGUGGGACAUGCGAUGUGUUCCCCGGAAGUUCAUCUUGGGGACAAAGACCUCUAACCUGGAAGAAUCUAAACUUGGCAGGACAGAAAGCACGAGUUCCCCGGCAGAUCACUGGGGGUCCUGCGAGCGGGGCCACUGCUGUUUCCACCCCUUGGCUUCAGAUUCAUGUGUCUUGCUUGUUGGGAACAGAGGGCCAUGGACAGGUCCUGUGCGGCACCCCGUCUUUGUAGAAUAUUACCUCCAGCCGGGCAUCUCAGCCGUGCCUUUGGCUGACCGACCCAGUGCUCUGUCCGCAGUGGAUCCCACGCUCACUGCAUUGCCUUUGCUACAAAGUGAAUCCCAUGUUUGAUAGGACACCAAAUGGGAUUCUUUUCUUUUUCCUUUUCCAUUAUGGUUUAUCCCAGAAGACUGGAUAGAGUUCCCUUGCUGUACAGCUGGACCUUAUUGUUAAAUCCAUUCUAAAUGUGAUAGUUUAUACCCACUGGCCCCGAACUCCCUGUCCAUCCACGCCUCCCCUUUCCCCCUCGAGAGCCCCAAGUCUGCUCUCCUUGGCCAUGAUCUAUUUCUGGUUUUUGUUUUGUUUUGUUUUACAUAGGAUCAUCUGUUCAUAUUUUAGAUUCCAAAAAUAAGUGAAUCGAAUCUAAAAAAGUGGAGAAAACCAUACAUGCACCCCUGUGCUCACUGCAGCACUGGUCACGCCAGCCAAGACAUGGAAGCAACCCAGGUGUCCAUCGACAGAGGACUGGAUAAAGAAGAUGUGGUACAUGUACACAGUGGAGUAUUACUCAGCCACAAAAACGCAUGGACAAUGCCAUUUGCAGCACUGCAGAUGGACCUAGAGAUUAUCAUACCGAGUGAAGCUUGUGAAGACAGUGAAGAUAAGAUUCAUGCGAUAUCAUUCACAUGUGGAAUCUAAGAAAAGGACAAAGUGAACUUACCUGGAGAACAGACAGACUCAGACCUUGAAAACAGGCUUACGGUUACCCAGGUGGCCGGGGUGGGGACGGGCGGCAUGUAUACACGGUGUUAUGGAAUGACUGGCCAAUGGGGACCUCUACCCACUGUUCUGUGAGAAUCUAUUUGGGAAAAGAAUCUAAAAGAAUGGAUGUGUAUGUUUUACUGAAUCACUUUGUUGCACAGCAGAAAUUAUCACAACAUUGAAAUCAACACUGACACUUUAAAAACGAAGAAGCGAAUGACUAGGAUCUCUCCCCACUGGGAGGCUGUGUCCUCAUCCUGUCUUUCAAGGCUGCCCCUGAGAGGCUGUAGUACACCUGCUGCCCUUUUGCAUUUUGAACUCACACAGCAGCCAAGCCACCUGUGAGCCACGCUCAAGAUAGUUCUUCCUGUCAACCGGGCCCAAAGGCUUCUCCAUAUGGUGGUAGCUGUGAAGUGACAGAAAGGCUCUGAUACAGUGGCAGUGGAUGCCAGGCAGCUCUGGGCCAUUUAUCCUGCACUCCCCUGUGACCCGUGAACAGUCUUGUGCUCAGUCUUGGACGUACUCCUUGUGAUGGGUCAUUGCUGGGCCAGACCGACCUUAUGACUCAUUGAGUUUGGCAGAAGCCAUCCAACAAAGCACUGUCUUGUCUGCACGGGCACGUAAUGUCCCAAGGUCAGAUGUUCCACCUCUGUUGGAGCACAGAAGCACAGCAAGAUGGGCCCCCGCACCCCAGAAAAAAGGAGCUGAAAAGAAGAGGCACAUCAGCAGCCACGGCUGACACAGAGACUACCAUCCGGGCUACUGCCAGGCGCGUGCGCAGUAUGCCGUCACCCUCCAGGGCCCUGCUGACCUCUGCCGGGGUCAUGCUGGUGAAUUCAAGAGCCGGGGGCCACUACGCUGUGUCCCUUAGAUCCUUAAGCGUGGCACCAAUCACUGCCCUCCACUUCACUCCUAGGUGUGAUACCGCUUUAUAAUCUCGAUAGGAACAGGCAGUUUGAGAGGUUUCCACUUGGCUUUUCGUGUCGUGACAGCUCUAACCCUAGGUCAGGGACCCAACACGAGCGUAACAUUAAUUGCCAAGAAUGUCAAUGCCAAUUAUUCAGGACAGGGAGAAUUACCCCCCCCGCAGGUCCACAGACUCGGUGAACCUUCUGUAAACUGGACCACGGGCCGGACCCCACUAAUCAUCGUGUCAGCACGUGCAGCCAGUCUGACAGGCAGGCCACGGUGACAGUCCUGGUGUCUGCGUAUCAGAGUCAGUUCAGUCCCUCAGUCUUCAAGACACGUGGCUCCUCGCUCUCCCCCGGGUGUAGCUGUCAGAGGAAAUGGCUAUUGGACACUUUGGACAAGAACUUCAGGAUUCAUUUCUACGUAGCCUUGUGGGAUCUGCAGGGUCCUUCUCGGUAACUGGCCGUCUCUUCAGUUCCAUGUCCGAAAACAGGCUCAGGUCCACACUGGUUGUGGGGGUCCUGAUUUUUUUCAUCGGGCAACUGUCUUGAUUUUCCAGUCACCCAUCUCUGACUUUUUUCUGCUGGUAGUGUCCUCUUACUCUACCUCUAGGGAUGCCCGACGGGGGGACACCACUUCUGCAACUCUCCACAAGCUGGGCUCCCUGGGCUGCUACUCAGACCUCACUGGCCUUGUAACUGUGACUCGCUGGCGUCUGUCAGUUAGAUGCUGCUUCCUGGCCUCUCUGCCGUGGGCUCCUCUCACCGCCAGGGCUCUCACCCAGACACGUUCUGAAGUAGCCUCUGUCUCUGUCAGCACCUGCCUACAGAGACACCACUGAGAGUGACAGCGGUGACCCUUUCACCAGCUGUUUCGUUAAUUUUCGUGCGUCUGCUACUUGUGCCUUUAUGUAGAAUGUGGCCAUUUGGUGGGUCUUCAAGAGUAUGGGGUGUUUAAACCGAAGCAGGGAGCUCCCGUCGUGGCGCAGUGGUCAACGAACCCGACCAGGAACCGUGAGGUUGUGGGUUCCAUCCCUGGCCUCGCUCCGUGGGUUAAGGACCCCACGUUGCCGUGAGCUGUGGUGUAGGUCGCAGAUGUGGCUCGGAUCCCGCGUUGCUGUGGCUCUGGUGUAGGCCGGCAGCUACAGCUCCGAUUAGACCCCUAGCCUGGGAACCUCCAUGUGCCACAGGUGCAGCCCUAGAAAAAGACUAAAACACGAAAAGACCAAAAAAAAAAAAAAA